UGUUAAUGGUAGAAAUAGGGAGUCGGGCCUGCCCGGUGAGCGAAAGCUUAAACGGCUGCAACGAGAGUUGUACUAAGGUAGCGUGGUAAGUUGUCCUUUAAUUGGGGAAUGGUAUGAAAGGUUUGACGUGGAAUGACUGUCUUUAGAGAAUUAAAUUAAGUUUCCAUUUAAGUGAAAAGGCUUAUAUUUUUGUAAAAGACGAGAAGACCCUGUCGAGCUUAAUUAGGGUUGUUUGUUUUUAAUGACUUGAAUUUUUGUUGGGGCAACAUAGAUCAAAAUAACGGUUUAAUGUUAAAUGAAGAUCCUUUAGUUGAGAGAUAAAUAGCAAAAGCUACCGCAGGGAUAACAGCGUUAUCCUUCUUGAGAGACCGAAUUGAGGGAAGGGUUUGCGACCUCGAUGUUGGAUUAUGGAAACGUUCUGGUGAAGAGACUUUAAUGGUGAGACUGUUCGUCUUUUAAU
rnacentral:rRNA from 1 species